GGGACACUGGGUCGCCCCACUGGGCUCGGCGCCUCUCGGGGCGACAAGCGGGCGCGCGCCCGGCUCAGGGCCACCCUGCGCGCCUGGGGGUGGCCGGCACCGGGGCCCGGGGGGUUAACUCCCUCCGGAGGUCUCGGGCGUGUCUCUUCGGGUUGCCGGGCCCAGGGGCCAGGCGCGCCUCCGCCAGUUUACAAAGGAAACAGCCUCCUUCCCCCGCGGCAGGGGCUCCCCGACCCGCGGGCGAGGAGUGGGAGGUGACGGCGCCGGACCCCCUUCCCCCAGGCGCCCGGCUCCCGCGCCUUCAGGCGUCAAAGCCCCCGACUUCCCCGAGCACCAGCACGUCCGCACCCGGCUCAGAACGCAGGGGCCCGGCCUGCUGCGGUGACCUUGGCCCCGGGCCGGGCUUCUGAGCCGGACUUGCAGCGCCUGACGAGGCCUGGAGGCGGGGCGGGGGACCGCGUAGUUGUCCUGGCGACCCAGCGCCGCCGGGCAGGGCUCCUCCCAGCCUGGGAAUUGAGGACCACCGCCCCUGGUGCCACUGGGGACCGUCGGGUCGCUGGCGCCUGUCGACCUCGCCCUCCGGCGGCCGCGCGGCAGUGGGAGCCUCAGAGAGGAGCCAGGGCGGAGUGAGGGAGCCCGCGGGGCCUGGGACACCUGACCGUCCGGCUAGAACAGGGGUAGGGACCGAGGCCGAAUGAGCCAGAGUUCUGGCCGGGGACAGUCCCAGAGGAGGCCUGGAAGCCCAGUGAGUGUCUGUCCUCCUCUGUGUGGCCUGGGGCUCCCGCCAACACUAAGCCCUUCCUGGGGCCUCAGGCACCUCAAGGCGCCCCGUUCUCCAGGGUCAGCCAGCCCCUGCCCACUGGUUGCCAGGCUUGCAGUGGAGCCUGCCUGCUGUCCUGCCCACAGGCCUCUGCAGCUGCCCCCUCCAGGGGUGGGGCUGACUUUGGAGGAAAAAUGCCAGGCAGCAGGGACCCCCUCGCCACCCUGCUCCAGGUUGGGCUGAGCGGCCAUCCUGAGGCUGCCCACUUGCUUGGCUCUUCUUCCUGCCUGCUGGAGAGGCCUGCUGGGCACUGCCCUUUCUGAGCAUUGGGGACUGCCAGGGUGAAUCAGCAUUCAGGCUGGUGGGGCCAGCAUGGGGUGGGGCUAAUGCACAGGGGGCUGUAUGUGGGUGGAGGGAUCCAGAAAGAGUGUCCAGGGGAGCACCAGCAUUCACCAGGGCCCCACCAGGUGGGCAAAAGCAAGGGCUUCCGAGGUGGGGGUGGGGGUGGGCAGGAUCCUCUGCAAGGUGUCUGCGUGCGCCUGGGGCUCCUGGUGACUUCCCACGCCAGCAGGAGGAACAGUUUGGGGUGUGCUGAGGGACCCACCUGUGGACUUGCUGGGCUUUGAGAGGAACCAAGGCUGGGUGGCGGCGGGCAGGACAGGGGAAGAGGGUUCCGGGGCACAGAGGGCCAGACAGAUGCACCCAGCAGCUGGCAGCUCUGGCUGGAGAGGGGAAGAGGGCAGUGAGAAGCACGGCUGGCCCAUGGUACCUCCUGCCCCUCUGCCCUGCCCGCCUUCCCUCUGCCCUGCCCACCUUCCCUCUGCCCUGCCCGCCUUCCCUCUGCCUCUUCCCCUCUGGCCCGUGCUAUUUACUGUGUAUUGUUAAGUGAACUUGGAAGCCGUUUUUAAAACCUGCUCUCCACUAGGUAAGGUAUAAAAAAGACCAUCUGCAGACAGGGAGACCAUUUUUGCAACUUAAACGGUGGCUGUUCAGGGCCUCCCCCAGCAGCCCUGCCCCCGCACCUGCUCCCACUUGCUUCCCGCCCCGCUCCAACCUGCUUGUUGAAGAAGAGGCCAUGGGAGUUUCCAGAGUCCCCGAUUAAAGUGCAGGUGUCCUUGGGGACCUCAUCAGCCCAGGCACAGCCGCAGCAAGGCCUAGGACAUGCCCAGCUCGGGACGGCCCAGCCAGUCAGAUGGGGUAAGCCAAGGGGACAGGAGAGUGUCCGGAACUUCCACCGGGGCUGGGGGUGGGUGACCAGCAGUUGGCAGGAUGGGUGGCCUGAAGGGGUACAGUUGAGGGAGGGACAGGUGGCUGGAGGAGGAAGCAGGGGCUGGCCUCUAUGUCCCCUGAGACAGCAGGGGAGGAAGGCAGGAACCCCGCAGGCCACCUCCCCUCAGGGUCUGCCUCCCCUGCGGUCCUUGGAGGAACUCCAGGAUUUGUCCUCCCUGGCAGCCUGGCUCACUUGCAUCACCAGCUCCAUGCCCGCCCCUCGUCUUUCAGGGUCGCUCCCCCAGGUCCGAGCUUAGAGGGCCCUCCUGACUGCUGGACCUGGACCUGCCCAGCACUGUCCUACCGCACUACAUCAUCACUGAGACUUGGGAAGGGCAGUGGUGAGCAGGUUCUCAGCCUUUGUUGGUCUCUUCCACGAGAUGAGGCUUACAGCGGCCUCCCCAUGACUGAGGUGCAGCCACAGCCUGGCCUGUGUCCAGCCUGCUCCAGAAUCACCUGGUAUCCCCCCAACCCCCAACACACCUGGGCUUGCUUGAUCUUACUGGAGCUCACCAGGGCCUGGCUGUGUGCAAGUCUCAUGCAGCAUAGUGAGGUGCUCCUGAGAUGCAUCGAAGGUGUCUGGUCAAGAUGGAGGCCUCGCAGGACACAGCCAUGAGUCAGAGACCACAGAUUUCUCCAGAGCUGGUGCCCAGAGGCCAAAGGCAGGGAUGGGCCUUGAGGCUGGGACCCAGGUCGCCUCAUGGCAAGCCUUUUGCCCACAGCAGCUGUGGAAGGCAGGAGACAGGAUAAAGCCUUUAAUACAGAGGGCCUGCUCUGAUUUCAGUAAGCAACCAUUCAUCACUCAAGAAGCCUGGACAGACUAGGGAGCAGGAGCACGCCAGGCCUCCUCCAAGGUGUCUGGCAGGGAGGCCGGCCUGGGGAACACACUCCUUGUCCCUUGUCGUGUCGUCUGAGGCAGGGGCUCAAGGCAAUCUUUGCAGAUGCUGAGCCAGGAACCCUCGACCUUCUAGCAGGCCACAGAUCCUUUGGGCAGUGUUUGUUUUGUUCUGCUCCAGUCUGGAAGCCCUUGGAGGGCAGUGUGGGUCUACAAGGCCAACUUUGUCUUGUCUGUUCUGGAGCUGUCUCCCUGCCCCUUGGGUUAUCAGGAUGAUAUAGGGUCACAUCCCCUGAGGCAGUAUCUCAAAGGACCGGCUGGGAACAGAACCUGCCAAGACUCCACUCGAGGUGGUGCAGAGAGCUGGGCAGGCACAUAAACUCUGAGGCCAAACUGCUAGAGUCCUGCCAUGUGACCUUGGGGAGACUGCCACCUCCCUUGUGCCUCAGUGUCCUCAUCUGUAAAGUGGGAAAUAUGAUGGUACCUACCGUGUAGCCUCGUACUGAAUAUUAAAUGAGUUAAUAUUAAAUGAGAUACUUAGUACAGCA